ACUCUCCUGCCUGGGCUGCUGCUCAACGGGGGCUGGGGGUGUGUGGGGCGGGGGUGGUCUGUCCAGUGAUUCAGCCACAUGUGAUAGAUGACCAAGUGACUGCUUUCUUGGAGUCCGCACACCAGUGGAAGACUCUCAAAGUGGUUGUGACCGACUUGAUCAAACUCUAGGCUUCCUGAACUGGAAUGAAAUGCAGAUAACUCUUUAGAAAACUUUUGUAGGAAAAGCGCCUCGUGUGAUCUGGAACAAAGACGUUUUAUAAUCAGAUUUAUCAAGCUGCGAAGAGGGAGUUUUAGUGAACGGAAGCAGCAGCAUUCUGUCACCAGGAAAUACUCCUUUAUCCAGAAUUGGUAAGUGAAAAGUGGCAUUGCUCCCUAAUAGAUAUCAUAUGCGUGUGUGGGAAUUGAAAAAUUGUUCACAGACCCCUAACAACUGUGUUGAACAGAGAACACAUAAACAGUGAGGAGUUCUAAAAAAGAGCAGCACGAGAAUACCGCAUAAAGACUGAGAAGAAGCCAGGUAAUUAACAAAAAUGAGCUGAGUGCUAUCAGUUUAGCUAAACAUAUGUAAUACAGCUAGAUUUGGUUGUUUUAUUUUUUCUUGUUAGUGGAGGAGAAACAUAAAAUCAGAAUGGGCUGUUUAGUAGAAUUGCGACAUUAACUUUCCAUGGAUGUAGAUUUCCAUUUAGUCUGAAUAGCAUGUAUGAAAUUUGAAGGGAUGCUUUCAGAAUUAGUCUACUUGCCCUCCUUUCCUUUCCUCUGCAUUAAGAUGUCAAGUAUUUAGUUAGAACCUUACAAGAUGAAAGUUGUACAAAAUGAAAGUUCAAGUAAUGCGUCGGAAACACCUCUCCUGAUUGGGAAGGGUAGAUUACAAUGGCAAUAGAUUUUUGUUUUUUGUUUCUUACAUUUGUGUCACGAAUUUUAAGUUUGUUCUAUUGGAUUACAUUAGUACAGCAAAAGGGGGGUUAUUUCUAUCUAUAUGGUUCAUGACAUUUUGAGAGGUCGUGAUUAGUAGUUCUUACUGGUUUCGUAUGCGUGUUCCUGCCUGUUGAAUUCAGUUUUCUAAUCUUGAAUCUGAGCUGCCUUUAUGUUAAAGGGUUCUAGAAAAAGACAAUAAAGCUUUGAAUACCCGUGUUAUAUACAACAGGUUCCUGUUCAUGAUGUAUAAGGUAACGCAAUUUUAUUUUAGGCAUGAAUGUCUAAUUUCUUGAUUUGGCUUCUUAAGAAUAUACUGAAAAGGUUGAAUAGAAUAAGAAAAAGAACAUUAGAAAAGAAUGGUGGGUGACUGCCUGAUUUUACUAGUUUCUUAUUGGUCAAUAGAAGUAAUCAUGUGAUGUCUACUUAUAGAAGCAAAUGGAAAAAAUUUUUCUUCUUUAACUGCUAACAAGUAUAUAGGCAAUUUUAGCAAUCUUCAUUUAUUAAUUUGAAUAUAUAAUUAUAACUGUUAUUAACAGAAUAAGUUUUGGGUAAUAUAGGAAAUAAUAAUUAUUUCUUUCUUUUUAAGCCAAAUUGGAAGUUGAAUCUACUUUUGGUUCCUGUUCUGUUACUUUCAAAAUCUUAAAAUCCUUAACUCAAAAGGGAAAAUGUAUAAUAAAACAGGAUAGCAGUGCUGAAAUUUCUCUCUCUUAGCAGUGGAGUGGGAUGAGGGUGGGGGAGGGAGAUGAAUCUAGUGAGAUAUAUUAAUUGUUUUUUCCCCCUCUUGUAUACUUGGAUAACUUUUGAGAUCAGUUUUCUCAGACUAGCAGCUCUCAAGACUUUUGCAUAAGUAUUUAUUCUUAAAGAAAUAGAAAGACAAGAUAAGCACGGCUCUUAAGGGCAGGUCCUCCAAUAAGUCAGGAAACGGGUGAUCCAAACUUGUGAACAUGACAAGUCAAUUUGACUUAAUUAAGGAAUGGCAUUAGUUUUCUUGAAGCACAUGAAUUUAUAGGUUUUUAGAGUCUUGAAGACAGAAAAAUGGCAACAAAGCAUUAAGGUAUUUACAGAUAAUUUAUAUUCAACUGCUAGCUUAUGUUUUCAACUCUGUAUUUCAUGUAAGUAAAUACUUGGGGAGAACAUGAUGAUUUAAUAAUCUGGAUAAAUACUGCCGUGCCUGUUGGAAAAAAGCCUCUAAUUUUUAGGUUUUCCUCAUCCAUUUAAAAUCCAUUGUUUUGAAUGACAAAAUGUGAUAGAAACAGGUUGGAACAGUAAAUGCUAGAAAGUAUAUCCCAGAAGAAUUAACUGAGAACUUCAUGUUUUCAAUUCUAUUUGCCGUUCUCUGUUCUCAAUUUGUUAAUUUUUAAAAGUACAUCGAAAGUGAGUAGCAUUGCUUGCUCUGAAUUCUCCUCUGGGGUCAUUGAGAGUAUUCACAUUUUCGUAUACCCUGUUAAAAGAUAUUAAUGCCAUGCAUAUGCCUUUGUCUUUGUGGGUGUGUAAAACAACAAACUGAAGGGAUCUGGUCAAGAGACAGACCUCAAAAUAAUUUCUCUGAAAUAGUGUUUGAAUUUGCAUGUUCGGGAACGUAAAUGCUUUCCCUUUGGGCUUGUUUCUUAAGUUUUUGGUGUAGUAUACAGUUUUACCCAAUUAAAUUUUUCUUUUGAGGUCUGUAUAUGUAUGGGUGUCUAUAUUUGAUUUGAAGGGGGAGUUUUAAUCAUUAGUGAAACAAGUGGCUGUUUGUUAGAACCCAGAUAAGCCUCAUAGUGUUGUUCCUAUGACAACUGAGUAGUUGGGUGUUGAAAUGUAGCUUUAAGUUCUUGGUUUGGAAAUGUCAUUCAGACCUCCCACUAUAGUCUCAUUGAGUAGGAGGAUAAUGAGAAGGGGAAAAACCAUGAAGCAACAUAAGUAUCUCCGUUCGUUUCAUGUCUUCCUGACUUGUCUUUGUGUACAGGAUCGCCAUGGGAGUGGUAAACAUAGGUCUUGAACAAAGCAAUACUUCAAUUAAAAAAAUACAUGGAAAGGGUCAGAAAAGUUGGGGAAGAUAAAUAACAACACAUGGGGGCAAUAAAGAGGCAAGAGAAAUAGGCUUCCAUGGGUUUCUGCAAAUCCUUUAUCCAGUGCUGACCAGCAGUGAGAACAUCUUGAACCAGUUAUUGUAUAGCUCUUCAAGAGCUGUGAAUUUCCUUAAAAUGCAAUGUGGAGAAAAUUCCUUUGGUAGCAGGAUGGUUUACCACUUUGGCAUAACGUUUAUUCAUCUCCCCCAGGCAGACUACAGAGGAUACUGUGUUCUUUUAAGGCACAUGUUUUUAAACCAGUUGUUCAUUUGUCAUUUAAUAGCUUUUGUCUUUUUUCUAUGGGAAAGACAAGGUUGUACUAUUAAAAUAGUGAUAAAAUUUAAGUAUUUUAUUCUAUAUUCAAAAAGUGCUUUUGAAAAGUACUUAGAAAAAGAUUGUUUGAGACCUGUUGUUUGUGGAAAUGUCUGUCAAUGGAGAAUCUAUGGAGCACUGUAUUUGAGGAGAGGGAUUGUUCAGACUAAUAUUUGGCAUAGCUUAAUUAUGCAGUUGUUGAUUUUCCAUGUCUGAAGGUCUUCCUAUUUCCUACUCCUAAAUAGUUUUAACUAUUUAUUUGGUUGCUAGAACCUCCUGAAGUUAGAAAGAAAAAGAUUUCAGUGGGGUUAGUCUCUUAAUAAAUAUAUGCCCACCAUCUCUUCUGUAAUCCAAAAAGCUCUGAAAAUCAAAAGAUUUUCAUGUAACAAAUUUGGCAGCAAAUCCUGACCUGAACUGAUGUGAAGCUAAUGAUAGUCUUUGUUUAGCUCGCUCAGAAUGAAUCUUUGUAUGUUUUACUGUAGAAGUAUUAAUGUGUUUGAUCACGGAGUAUUGUUCCAGACUCCCCUAGAGGUUUAUAUACUAUAUUGAAUAGUCAACCUAUUACCUUUAUAAAAUAAUAAUAAUAAUCAAUCUGAGUGUCAGGUAAGCAUUUGUGGACCCAUAAUUACUGACAUACAUUGAGUUCAUAUUAUAUGCCGGGUACCAUUCUAAAUGAAUCACUGGCAUCUAAGAACAGUGUCUGGCACAUAGUAGGUACUUAGUAGACACGUUUUGGUAGGAACUGCUUUACACUUAUUAAAUUCUUUAACUCACAAAAACAGUAUACAGGAAGUAGCGGAGCCAAGAUUUGAAAGCAGACAGUCUAGCUCCAAUCUGCUCUUAAUGAUUCUGAUGCAGGUACAAGAGAGGACUGGAGAUGUGGCACUGGACUUCUUAACUGAGUCAGAGGGGGUGUUUGAGUGAUUUACUUUAUUCAUAGUCACCCUAUACCUCCUACGAUCAAGAGCUGGUGGUAUCACCACUAUGGUCAUUAGCCGGGGCUGUGGUUGAAUGCUUAUAACAGGUUCUCCUGGGUGGGAGUGUAGGAAUUCCAGGGGUCUGAACUCUCCUCACAGGCUUCCCAAGGUGAUCUCCAUCAGUAAAUCAGCCCGACUUUUUCAUCUUGAAAAAUUAAGACAUAGGAAAUAACUCUUUCCUUAACCCUAAGGAAGUUUCCUUGAACAGUGGGAAAAACGUUUUUGUAGACAUUCCUUAGACCCCUUACCCAGCAGGAGGUGUGGAAUCAAUAAAGAGGGCAUGGGUCACCUCCAAGGUUGUGAGCUCCCUGGCUUGGGAACUACACUGGGACACAGCAGAGCCUCUUGGCAGAAAUCAGGCAGCCCAUGGAGCUUCAGCUGCAUGACUCUUUGAAUUCACAAAAGGAUACCUUUAACAGUACUUCUCAAAAAAUGUAUAUAAGGCAUGUCUCAAGUCCCUAUAUGUUUCUAGGGAUAAAAAAAUUCAUUUCAAACUGAUGGCAACCUCCCCAUUCUAUUCCCCAGCUUUCUAUCCUUCUUCCUGCUUAAUUUUUCUUCUUAGCACUUGCCUCUGUCUGACAUAUUGUAUGUCUUACUUAUUUAUUCAUUUGACAUUUUAAUUAGACACUAGCAGUAUUGUUUUCUUUGAAUACAUUUAAAGGUCCUAGAUUUAUUUCUUUUUGAUGCUCAUCUUCUAACUCAUUCCCUCCUAUCAAUCUCAGACUGCUGUAAAUAAAUGAUUUUUUGCCUUUUUUUUUUUUUUUUACUAUUAGUUAUCAUAUUUAUUUUUCUUAAACAAGCUGUACUGGUUAUACAGUCUGAAUUUGGAGAAUAGACGUCUUCAUUCAGGAGGGGAAAUUGAGCCAAGUUUGAAUAUAAUCAUUGGGUAACAAAUCCAGAAGAUUAAGUUACUAAGGAGAACAUGCAAAGUAAACACUUGCAUUUUAUGAACUACCUUCAAUUUAAAUAGACAACUGGGUAACUGUAUAUGACAUGUUUUGGGAGUAAGACCUGUUAAACCUACCUACUUCCUACUGUUUUCAUUUGAAAAAUAAAUCAAUUAUUAAACAGUUAUUCUACACAUUAAAGACUGUAAGUGAUUUAACCUUGAAUAUUUCCUGACUCAAGUUCUUAAAAUCCUCAACUCUAACCUCUUGUUUUUCAACCCCAUAUUUAUUCUAGUUUAUUCUUUCCAACAUAUUUAGGGCAAUCUAAAACAUAAAGUAAAAAAACCCCCACAUAUAUUAUUAACUAUAAACAAUGUGGUUAUGUAAAUGCAUCAUUUUAGUUGAUCUUUUUUCUUUAGCCUAGUUCUUUUUUUCUUUUCUUUUCUCUCUCUUUUUUUUUUUUUUUUUUUUUUUUUUGAGACAGAGUCUUGCACUGUCACCCGGCCUGGAGUGCAAUGGUGUGACCUUGGCUCACUGAAACCUCCACCUCCUGGGUUCACGUGAUUCUCCUGCCUCAGCCUCCCGAGUAGCUGGGAUUACAGGCACACACUGCCACGCCCGGCUAAUUUUUUUUUAUUUUUUAUUUAUUUAUUUUUUAUUUUUAGUAGAGACGGGGUUUCACUAUGUUGGCCAGGCUGGUCUUGAACUCCUGACCUUGUGAUCUGCCCGCCUCAGCCUCCCAAAGUGCUAGGAUUACAGGUGUGAGCCACCGCGCCUGGCCUAGACUAAUUCUUAAAGGAACAGAUUAGAUACAUACAAAAGUUGAAUUUAGUAUGCUUUUGUAAGUUAAUAUAAUGAUUGGGACAUUUUGUUUUCUUAGCUAUGCUUUAUAACAAAAUAGUUCUAGUUACUUUCUUUUAAAUGGUUACUAAAGUAAUAACUUGCUUUUUAAAAACAUAGUAUAACUAUUUAAGGUAGACUAUGAAGAGUAGGCUGAGGUUUCAUUUUAAAUUAUCUCCUCUUUCUGCCAUGGAAGAGUUUAAUUCCCCUGAUGUGCUUAUGGUAUUGAAAGCCCAUUGUUGGUGUUGGUAUUGAAAGAAAGCUUAGUUUUUCUGCGUUUCCUAAAAGGAGAGGGAAGAAAGAUUUUUAAAAGUGAAAAUCCAUUGAUUUUUUUUUUUCUUGAUUAGGAUUUGUAUAAUAUAUCUGAAGUGAGACUAGAGUUCUUAAAGUUGAGAGAAACAGUAAAUAUGUACACGCCCGGCAAAACUUUGCAGGGAACAUUCAGAGUUCGGAUUACCUGAAAAAAAUCUUGAAAGCUUCAGACAUUUUCCAGAGAGUGUUAGUGCGUGAAAGUGGUACCCAUGACCCCAAGAGGGUGUCCAUUCACAGCCUCCAUUGAAGUAGUUUACUCCCUAAGAGGCCCAGGCUUUGGAAAUAAGUAGAUUUGUGCUUUAAGCUCCCUUUGCCCCUUGCUAGCUGAGUAAGCUACUCCGCUAUUUCCCUGAGCCCCAGAGUGUAGAGCAUCAGAAGUAGUGCACAGGUUUGUUGUGUGAGAUAACACAUGUAAAGCACAUGCUGUGGGACCUGGAGUAAUGGUGCUUAACACACUUGCAUUCCCUUCCAAAAUCCCUUUAGGAACAGACUUCUUCAGUUUAGUCCUAAAGCCUGUAGAUCCAUGCUAAGUGAUAUGACUUUUUUUCACAUCAGAUUAAGCAAAACACUGAUGAUGGUGACUGUCGCUUAUUGUGCAGUUACCAUGUUCUGGACAGGCACUGUUGUAAGGGCUCUACCUGCAUCGACCCAUUUUUCCUCAUGACAAACUAUUGGUGCAAUUAUCAUGCCCAUUUCAUAGAUGAACACACAGAGGCACAGAGAGGUAAAGGAACUUACUUAGGGCCACUCAUCUGUCAUGGAACCAGAAUCUAAAUCCAAAUAGGCUGUUGCCAGUACAGAUGGUAAGUACAUGUACUUCUGGCAGGAAAGCAGAAUAAAAGUUGACUGAACCUGAAAGUCUCGGAAAUGGUCUUCUCAUUUCUAUUCUGUAAAGUGUCACGUCUUCUAGGCCUACCUCUGUCAAUAUUGAAAUACAAAAUUAACUUUUUCUGCUUUUUAUUUCACAAAUCAACGGGAACAGUCUUAGUCAUUUGUGUUUUAUGAGUUUUAAUUAGGCCACUGCAGUCCAGGAGGGGAAUUCCUUGUUUUCAGUUGAUCUCAUAUACUAACAAGUUUAAUCAUGUAACUUCCCCUAUUUUUUUCUCUAAUGUUUUCACUUGAAAGUGGGGGUGGGAGGGAGAAGUAUGUUAGCAUUUGAGUCCUAGGGAUGCACUUACAUCAACCUUUCUGGAAAUUCCUUCUUGCUGGUAUAGAACUAAUCCAUAGAAAAAUGAAAUGUGUAAGAAUCUGUAUUUACUAAUAUUUUUCUUCUUUAUCUCCAUCUAGUUCUGGAUAUUUUCUGGAGGAUGGGGUAAAACUUCUAGAUAAAGAAGUACAGGAAGCCAUCUAUGUGCAUAAAACCUUAUGUUUGGGUGUGGACUUAAUUUUCAGAAUAUGGGAAAGGGGUUUCACAUUGAGAAUUUCCUCUUUCUGAUGUAGAUUGAGAAUUUUGACUUAGAAGAUGAGGGCAUGUUAUCCUAGCCCGUGGGUUCAGAGUGCUUGGAAGUCUCUUUAAAAAAAAAAAAAAAUCCCCUGGCCUUGGACUGAGCCUGCUCUUGGAGGAUUUAUUAAUCAUGCCGGCCUUCAUUCUUUCCUUUGUUUGUUCAUUCCUUCAUUUGUCCAUACUCUCGCAUAAGUCAUUCAACAUCUACCUGCAAAUAGGUGAAAGAAAGGAUGGGAGUGAGAGUCCAUCAGGGGACGGGAGAGGAGAAGCAAUAAACUCACUCUAUGUUCCUUUCACCUCACUGACUGCAUCUUGUAUCUGAUUGUUUGUCCCUUUGGAGACAACGUAUAUUUCACAGACAGACACUCACAACACUCAUGAAGGUCUUUAAGCAUCUUCCUUUGGGAGCUGCAUUUCUUUUUUUAAAGUGAGAGGAGAAAAUGCUUGUGAGGGAAAAACAGUGCAGAGAAAUGGUUUUUCUUUCUUUCUUUUUAAUGUUGGCGGAAGAAGGGUUCAUAGUAGGGAACGUAUCAGUAAAUAUAAUCUAAGAGCACUCAUGCUUUCAAAUAAUUUCCUUGUUUAAAGAUAUUAAGUGCAGUAGCGUUUACAAUUAAUGAUCACAACCAGUUACAGAUUGCUUUGUUCUUUCUCUACUCCUGCUGCUUCACCUGCCUACGCUUAUAAUAAAAGAACAUUAAGAGACAACAAAGGCCAUCACAAAGAUGUCUUCAAAAAUAAUUUUAAAAUAGAAUUUUAAUUAAUUUAAAGGUAAGAAGUGUUGCCAUGCCCUCAAUCAAAUUUAUUAUGACUUUUUGAAAAUAUCUCUAAGUAAAUAUAUAGAAAAUGAGGAAUGAACAUAGGGGAGGGCUUUUGGAAUUUAUACUACUAUUCUUUCAAAAAAUAUUACUCGUCUCCAUGUUGCAGUUAGGAAUACGCUUCCUUAAGACAGAGUCAUUAUCUUUACUUGUUAUUUAAAUCUUGAUAUCACCUCCUAUAGUUUUUGAAAGACAUCACUCUUCAAGUUGUCUUCAAUGGCACAAACUAUACCUGUGCAUUUUCUGAAACAAGUUUGACCAUACCAGCAAAGGCAAUGAAAAUGCUUUGUCUUUCAGCAUGAAAUGUGAAGUCUACAUUAUUAGUGGGUAUAUAUGGCCCAAGGGAAGAAAAUGUUGAAGUAGAUUUAAAAACAAAAACAAAAUCACUCACACUCUAAAAGAAUGUCUCAGUAUUUCAAGGCUCUUCUCUCUCUCUGUGUUAAAACCAAUAAGGAGGCCUCAGGACAAGUUAGGUUGAUAAUGACAGUGAAUAUCUACCUUUCUCCCCAUUCCGUUUGACAUCCAUACUCCAAAAGACCUUCCCUUAUUUGCUAUGCAUGGGUAGCAGGGAGAUUAUAGAGAAACUGUUCUUUUUCCUGCUUUCUUUUUUUACUGCUGGGGGAGUGAUCACUUUCCUACAGCUCUUGUCCACCUGGCCCUUGAGGCGUUUGGAGUUUUGGUAAGGUGUUAACAAAAAUUGUCUCAGGUGCCAACUAAAUUUCAUAAGCUUAUAGCAGCACAACAGACUAAGACACCACAUGGGAAAUGUACAUUUUACAAAAAUAUAUUAUACAUCUACCAUGUCUACCAUGUGCCUUAGAGAGUUCUGGGUCUGGUAAUACAGCAGUGAAUAAAGUCCCCGCUCACAUGGAGCGGGUAGGCUGAUGGUGAUGGAACUCAUAAGUAUACGGCAGGUGUUAGUAAACACUGCGGAGAAAAAUAAAGCUGUGUCAGAGAGAGAGUACCUGGGGAUCAGGGGUAGAGCGACGUUAACCAGGGCUAAUAGGAAGGCCUCUUUGAUGUUAUUAGGCCAGUGAGGAAUCAGCUGUGGGAGUGUCUGGAGGAAGAGGAUUCCAGGCAGAGAAAAUAAAAAAGUAACUGCAGUAGAGACGGGAGCAGGCUUUGUGUGUCCAAGAGACACAUCAUGGCAGAUCAGGUAGGACUCUGUUGGCCACAGUAAGAAGCUGUUUGGAAGGUAGGAAAUGAUAACUAGAGAGAGUGAAGAUGGUAUUCUGAGAGUCUAUGUGAUUUAUUGUAGGGAUCCCGGAGAGUCGAGCCCCUUGUGCCUCAUAACUGGAGUGUUUACAAGCCGUGUAAGGCCUUCUUGCAGUAAAAUGCUACUUUUGUAAUUUAAAUUAUUAUGCUAUGAAAACCUUAGCAAAGAUAGAUAAAGUUGAACUAUUUGAAGCACAAUUACAGCUAAAAAGCGCAAAGUGGGCAAUUCUUCCUAUCACAUCUACUCCUCAGAGAGAUGUGGGGUACCUGAAUGUCUAACUGUGGAAUGUUUUGAUUUGAUUUAAAUUUGCCAAAAACUCAUCUUCCAUAAGGCAUAUCUUUGCUGAUUUUUGCACUCAGUAACAAGCAGUUUAGAAUUUUGAACUGAAGGGAUUUUAAAUCCAUGUUUAAAGUGCUUUCAUUUUAAAAUAAUUCUUAGUUUUAUGUUCAGUCAGAUGAUAAGCUCCUUUUUAAAAUUCUGUAUGAAAACUUACUGUUUGGUACAGGUUAAGAAGUCUUGUUAUACAGUACUUAUUUUAUUGGAGGUACAAAGAGAGUGUGGAAAAAUAAAGGCAAUUGGCCAGGUGGGAAGGGUAAAAUUGUUUUAUGUACCUUUUCUCUUGUAAAGUUGUGUUAAAAACAUUUUUGUAAUUUCUUAAAGGUAGAGUUGAUUGCCAUAAUUUGAUUGCAGCCCCCUGUCAUUACUUCACUAUUAUACUCGGAUACUAAAUGCCCCUUACUAAAUCUAAGGAAAUGGGCAAGUUCUGUCAUCUGGGAGUUUACAUGUUAAGAGACAUUGCACGGGUGAGAACAGACAUAAAAUGUAUAUGUAAUUAUAUCGACAACAUACAGGGCUUAGAAAGGGGCUUGAUAGCCUUUUAUAGGUGUCGUCCAGGUUUAUCUUACUUGAAAUACUGCCUGAGACUCUAUACCUAAUUCUUAUCACAUAGCCUUUCUAUUAGUCAAUGAUAGAUUUGGGUUGGGUUAACCCUCAUAUUCUUUUAGCAAGGGACCCACCUGCAGAAAAGAGUUAUUAUUGGUUUUGUCAUUUAUAGUUUAGUUCAACAAGACCGGAUUUCCUCACCGCCUUUGGCUGAAACUGACUGACUAAAUCAGUUUCACUUGUGGGGUAGAGAAAUGAGUAAUUUGGGAACAUAGAGUGUUGUGUGGAGGAGAGCUUAGUUUGCUCCUCUUCAUCCUCCCCUUAGGUAAGAAGUCUGCAUUGAGAGAGGGAGAAAGAUUUGGGACAUCAUGGGGAAACUGACCCCCUUGGGUGAGACACAUUGGGAAUUAAGAGAAAGAUGUAAAAAUGGACCAGGAGAGGAUGUACAGAAGCCCCAGGGGAGCCAGAGAAUUUCUGGUCCUAAGCUCAAGUGUCAGCCUCAGUUCUGCCUAGCAUCUUGGACAUGCUGUCCCUGCUGGCUUAUCUCCUGUAAGACAAGGGGCAUACUCCUGACUUACUGAGCAUCCCAUCUCAGAGGAGCUGGGAGUACAAGGAAUUCAGGAAUGGACUUUCAAGACAACAUCUAACCCGAGUCUUCUGCAGACAUUUCUCUACUGAAUCUACUUUCUAAGUGUAGAUUAGUGUCUAAGAGAUAGACAUUAAGUUUCUUUUUCUACCAGCCUCUGACCCCCUUGCUUUGAGGAAAACACAUGUGUUGUCCACGAAGUGGUGAGUUCUGUUUGGUCCUUCCUCUAAGAUUGGUCCGGGGCUUGAGCCGUUUUGCCCCAUGUGCUCUGGGAUUUCCCCCGGUUGUCCCCCCAUAUAAGUAGACAACUUGCUGUCUGUGUUCUAAGACCUUCAUAUUUUUCCCUUUGACUUGAGUCUGUUCUGGAACAAUUGUGUGGUGGCUGGGCACUGCAAAAUGAGUCAGUUCCUGCAGUUUGGUUACAAGUUCUCAAAAAGUAUUUCAGAAUGUGGAUGUGGUCAGCAGAGUCAUUUUCCAGACAUCUAAAAGGAAACCCACAUCAACUGUAACAAUUGAGCUACGAACCGAUGGCUCUACACAACCGAAUGGGGCCUGCUUUUCCUCAAAGCCUGUAGGUGCCCUCAAAUCUAGCAUUCUCUAUGGAUCGGAAAGGAGAAUUCAUCUUCAUGCUUGUAGAUCACAUUUUAUCUGUUACUGUUGACAUAAAAAAAUGCGAUAGAGGUUUUGGCCUUCAUCACCUUUUGAAUGUGGGCACAAAUUUGACAUAAGAAAUAAUUAGUAAAAUGGAAUCUAUGGGAUUAGAGUAUAAUUAGUGCAAAGUGUGAAAUGUGGCUUAGGGAUAGAUGCUUGGGUAAUUGAACUAAUGCACGAAGGAGAGGUUAAGAUGGUUUGGGUACCGAUAGAGUACAUCGAAAUAUGCUUAUUUGGUUUACUAAUAGUCUGAACCUGUGCAGACUUAGCAGCAAUACUGAUAAAAUAUCAUUAAAUCCUUUUCAAGCUUUAAAAGAAGUUCAGAUUUGUCAUAACAUUUGGAGAAUAUUUUCGCUCCACACAAGUUUUGGAAAAUAAUCUUUGUGAAUUUUUUUAUCCUCUUGGGUAUCAUGAAUUGUAAAAUUUUGUUGCAGUUCUCAGUUACCAGUCUUGCUCCACUCAUUAAAACUGAUGGCAUUUUCAAUAAUAAGAAAACAAAAUUUAAAAAUGGGUAAACGAUUUGAACAGACACUUCACCACAGAAGAUACGCAAAUGGCAGAUAAGCACAAGAAAAAAUCUUUUCAAUGUCAUUAGUGAAACACAAGUCAAAACCACAGUGAGGUACUGCUACACACCUAUCUGAAUGGCUAAAAUUUAAGAAGCCAGCCAUGCCAACUGUUGGUAAGGAUGUGUAGGAUUUAGAACUCUCAUGUAAAAUGAUACAAACAUGUCAAACAUACACCUAUCAUAUGAUUCAGCUGUUUCACUCCCAGAGAAAAGAAAGCAUGUGCUCACCUGAAGACUCGUACGUGAAUAUGCAUAGUAGUUUUAUUAGUAAUAGCUAAAAGCUGGAAACAAUCCUAAUGUCUAUCAACAGGUAAAUGGAUAAACAAAUUGUGGUGUAUCUGUAUGAUGGAUACUACUCAAUAAUAAGAAGGAAUGAACUAUUGAUACCUUCAAUAACAUGGAUGACCCUAACCCAUGAGAGUCAUAUCAUAUGAUUCCAUGUAUACAGAAUUCUGGAAAAUGUGAAAGCAGAUCAGUGGUUACCUGGGGUAGGGGAGAUGGGGGUGGCAAGAAAGGGGUUACAAAAAGGCCCGAGAAAACUUCCGGGCUGGUGGAUAAUUUCUGUCUUGUGUUGAUGGUUUCAUGGGUGUAUAUAUGUCAAAACUUAUCAAAUUAUACAAUUUGAAUAUGUGCAGUUUAUCGUAUGUCAGUUAUUCCUUAAUUCUUAAAAAAAACUUAAAAUAAGAAAUCAUUGUUAUAGUAGAUGGAAGGCUUUAAAAUGCCCUUAUUUGGCAAAAUCAGCAUUUCUUGGGGGGAGGGGGGAACCUGAUAGAGUUUUAAUGGUUUGAGGACAGAAAUACGACCUUCUAGUACAGAUGAGAAACCAAAGUUAAACAGUGAACAUAAUAAAUGGGAUCUCUUUAGUCCCUUUUGUUUACAAAGCAUUUGAACAAGUGGUUCAGGAAGUAUCUUUUCCAGCAUGGUGGUUCCAGCUGCCUGCCCGACUUCUAAGCAUUAGCACUUAAACAAACUUACUGUAGCAGUCUACCGUGCAAUGUGGCUAAGACAUCCAAAGUUGCUGUGUUCAGAUUGCAAAGAUAAGACAUGAAAAUCCCCACUUUCAGAUUCUAUCAUUGUUGGAGAAAUAAAUCUCUCAUAUUUACACAGUGCAUGAAAAUUUAUGUAUUUCCAGCUGUAUUGAGGUAUAAUUGACAAAUAAAUUGUAUAUAUUCACAGUGUGCAAUAUGAUGUUUUGGUAUAUGUAUACAUUGUGAAAGGAUUACCACAAUCAAGCUAAUUAGCGUAUGUAUCACCUCACAUAGUUAUCUUUUGUGGUGAGAACGUUUUAAGAUUUUUCUCUCUUAGCAAAUUUCAGGUAUAUGAUGUAGAAUUAUUAACUAUAAAGUAUUUUCAUAAACCUCAUCCUGUGAAAUCCUUUCAAUGGUCCUAUUACAGGUAGGAUCAGUAUUAUCCUCGUUUGCUUUGGCAGCAAACUGAGACCCAGAGAAGCCAAGCUACUUGGCCAGGAAUACAGAGCCCCCAUCUUCUUGCUCAGAAAUCACCAUUCUAACUACUACACUUUGCUUCUUCCUCAAACUAUUGUCAUUGAGUGUUUGGCUAAGACUCUUCACUCACCAAUUUGUCAGGUAGUUAUUAGAGUUCCUUUUUAAAAAUAUGAGAUGUUCAAGAUGAUAAUUCCCUCUAAUCCUCUGUUUCCCCGUUUCUAAAUGGGUAAUAACACAGCCACCAGCUUCCCAAGUUUGUGACCCUUACACGUGGAAGAGUCAUGAAAAGUGGGCAACUCUGUGUACCCAGUGGGUGUUGAUGUUACUGUGUGACUGCCCUCUUUGUUCCUGGGUUACUGAUCACACAGUACUGAGUGGCUUUGCAAACCCAACAGGGAGACAUAGCAGUUUAGUUAACAUUAGUUGCCCUAUAGCUUCCUUCAGAAUUGGAAAGUUGCACAAUAAGAAAUCCUAUGUACUGGAUUAUUUUAAAUUCUUCUUUAAAGGACACUAAACCAUCAUUAGUUGGGUCCCAGAGACUCACCAAACAGAGCUUAGAGGCAGAUACCAUUGAGGUUUACUUAGCUAACAAGAUUGACCCAUGUCUGGCAUCCUCCUUUUCUCCUUGGUUGUGUUGCCUGUACAUCUCUCCUCCUUAUUCUUCAUCAUUUUCGAUGGCCUUCUCUCUUCACUAGCCCUCUAACACACUUUAGAAAAUGUUUUGUUUUUUUUUUAAAUAACUAUUUGAUGUAUUGGCAAAAUGAGCAGUUUUCCUGAGAGUUCUCUGUCUGUCCCGACUGGCACUUCUUUUUUUUUUUUUUUUUUUUCUUUUUUCAUAUAUUGAUUUCUUUUAAAUUAAAUUAAAUUUUUUAAAAUUUCUGUUGGUUUUGGGGGAACAGGUGGUGUUUGGUUACAUGAGUAAGUUUUUCAGUGGUGAUUUGUGAGAUUUGGGUGUACCCAUCACCCGAGCAGUAUACACUGUACCCAAUUUUUAGUUUUUUUUUUUUUUGAGACAAGUCUCACUCUGUCACCCAGGCAGGAGUGCAGGGGUGCAAUCUCGGCUCACUGCAAGCUCCGCCUCCCGGGUUCAUGCCAUUCUCCUGCCUCAGCCUCCUGAGUAGCUGGGACUACAGGCACCCGCCACCACACUCGGCUAAUUUUUUGUAUUUUUAGUAGAGACGGGGUUUCACCGUGUUAACCAGGAUGGUCUCGAGCUCCUGACCUUGUGAUCCGCCCACCUUGUCCUCCCAAAGUGCUGGGAUUACAGGCGUGAGCCACCACGCGCAGCCCCAAUUUGUAGUAUUUUAUCCCUCACCCGCCUCCCACCCUUUCCCCGAAGUCUCCAAAGUCCAUUGUAUCAUUCUGGCACCUCUAAAACCAGACAUGAUUUGUUUUCUUGACUUCGGCUUGAGAGUUCCAAUUUCUAACUCUAAUGGACUUUAAUCUUAGAAAAUCAGGGGAUAUAAUCAUAUGGUAGUGCAAAGAGUAUCAAAUUUUGUCUAAGGAUGACAAUCAAAGGGAGCCCUAUUUUUUUGUUUUGUUUUUCAUCAAAUCCUCGAAUUUAUUCCAUCCCUAAUUCCGUGGUCCUUCAUGGCAUUCAUAGGGGCAGCUGUGAAGAAAAGUGGUAAUGUACCUGACGACUCUCUCCUGUCGGUGUCAGGGUUGCAUUUACUAUUACUGAUCCCAGUAAUAGGAUGAGUUUGAUCUCUCAGCAUGAAAAGAAUGACCAUAUUAGGGAUUUGUUUGUUCUCCAGACUACAGAAAGUUUGAUAACCAGAGUAGGACUUACUGGAGAGAUAAUGUCAGAAUGAAUAGAGACUGUCUGUGAGAAAUUUGAACGGGCUCAGUGCUGUUACCUACUAGCUAGAAAUGGGAAGCAAGGGGAUGAAUGUGAGGUUGGGGGCAUUGAGUCAAGAAGAAGAUCAGGCAAUUCUGGAGCUAGGUAAAUUGGGAUCAUUCCUGGCUUGUCACAUCUACGUGGGACAUUUAGACUAUCCACGGGCUGGAUACCUUAGGAAAGUUCCUUCUGGCUCUGGGACUCACUGCUCUUUCAGCAUUGCCAAUUUACAUCUAGUGUGUUCUUGUUAGAAGUGGAAGGCUCCUCUUCAUUUUUGAGCUCCUUGCGCCCUGUCAUUUUCUCUGUAUGAGAGGGUUUUGCUAUUCCUUUUUGAGUGAAAACGACUCCCAUAGCAUAUUGCCAUUCACACUCCA
rnacentral:lncRNA from 1 species